CUUUCCCUCUUUCUUCCUGCCUUACACAUGCAAGUCGAACGGCAGCACGGGUGCUUGCACCUGGUGGCGAGUGGCGAACGGGUGAGUAAUACAUCGGAACAUGUCCUGUAGUGGGGGAUAGCCCGGCGAAAGCCGGAUUAAUACCGCAUACGAUCUACGGAUGAAAGCGGGGGACCUUCGGGCCUCGCGCUAUAGGGUUGGCCGAUGGCUGAUUAGCUAGUUGGUGGGGUAAAGGCCUACCAAGGCGACGAUCAGUAGCUGGUCUGAGAGGACGACCAGCCACACUGGGACUGAGACACGGCCCAGACUCCUACGGGAGGCAGCAGUGGGGAAUUUUGGACAAUGGGCGAAAGCCUGAUCCAGCAAUGCCGCGUGUGUGAAGAAGGCCUUCGGGUUGUAAAGCACUUUUGUCCGGAAAGAAAUCCUUGGCCCUAAUACGGUCGGGGGAUGACGGUACCGGAAGAAUAAGCACCGGCUAACUACGCG
rnacentral:rRNA from 1 species